AUGAAUUGCCGAACCUUGUUUUCAAGGAAGACGAAAAUGGAAACCAUCAACGUUGUAAGAAACAUAGACAUCGCCAUAGAACACCAUUUACAACCUCCCAGAUCAGAACUCGGAUCCACUCCGACCCGGCUGCACGCGCGACAGGACCACUGUCCAUCACCUCUAUCACCAUCGCGAGCUUCUAGUGAACCACCUAUGGAACCUCCACGAAUCGGUACCGCAAUCACAGGAAAAUCUAUAUCAAGCCGCUCCAAAUUUAAAUCAUAUGCCACUUCUCAAAUUUAUCGCCACUCUCGAGUUUGUCUUCUUGCAUUAUUUGUUGAUUUUUAUUCACGGAUGUGUUAG